GCGCUUUUAGCUCAGUGGUCGAGCGUUGCCUUUGGAAGCCACAGGUCGGUGGUUCGAACCCACCAGGGCACA
rnacentral:tRNA from 1 species